AAUAAGCUGCAUAACUGACGGAAGUGGAUGACCACAAGGGAGUGCAGCAGGAAAAGCCGACCGUCUGGGCAGCCGCA
rfam:Selenomonas sputigena ATCC 35185, complete genome.